GACGAACGCUGGCGGCGUGCUUAACACAUGCAAGUCGAACGGAAAGGCCCUGCUUUUGUGGGGUGCUCGAGUGGCGAACGGGUGAGUAACACGUGAGUAACCUGCCCUUGACUUUGGGAUAACUUCAGGAAACUGGGGCUAAUACCGGAUAGGAGCUCCUGCUGCAUGGUGGGGGUUGGAAAGUUUCGGCGGUUGGGGAUGGACUCGCGGCUUAUCAGCUUGUUGGUGGGGUAGUGGCUUACCAAGGCUUUGACGGGUAGCCGGCCUGAGAGGGUGACCGGCCACAUGGGGAAGGGGAAACGGCCCAGACCCCAACGGGGGGAAGCGGGGGGGAAUUUGGCAAAAGGGGCGGAAGCCGGGUGCAGCAACGCCGGGUGGGGGAGGACGGCCUUGGGGUUGUAACCCGCUUUCGCCUGGGCGGAAGCGGGGGGGAGGGUAAGGGGUAAAGAAGCACGGGUAACUUAGGG
rnacentral:rRNA from 1 species